rnacentral:rRNA from 1 species
GCUGGCGGCGUGCCUAACACAUGCAAGUCGAACGAGAAAGUGGAGCAAUCCAUGAGUAAAGUGGCGACCGGGUGAGUAACACGUGACUAACCUACCCUAGAGUGGGGAAUAACCUCGGGAAACCGGGGCUAAUACCGCAUAAAAUCGCGAGCUGUAAACGCUUGUGAUCAAAGGAGCAAUUCGCUCAAGGAGGGGGUCGCGGCUGAUUAGUUAGUUGGUGAGGUAACGGCCCACCAAGACUUAGAUCAGUAGCCGGCCUGAGAGGGCGCACGGCCACACUGGAACUGAAACACGGUCCAGACUCCUACGGGAGGCAGCAGUGGGGAAUUUUGCGCAAUGGGGGAAACCCUGACGCAGCAACGCCGCGUGGAGGAUGAAGUCCCUUGGGAUGUAAACUCCUUUCGAUCGGGACGAUAAUGACGGUACCGGAAGAAGAAGCACCGGCUAACUCUGUGCCAGCAGCCCGCGGUAAUACAGAGGGUGCAAGCGUUGUUCGGAAUUAUUGGGCGUAAAGGGUGCGUA